UACAGGGGGGGCAAGCGUUGUUCGGAAUUACUGGGCGUAAAGGGCUCGUAGGCGGCCAACUAAGUCCGACGUGAAAUCCCAAAGCUUAACUUUGGAACUGCGUCGGAUACUGGAUGGCUUGAAUUCGGGAGAGGGAUGCAGAAUUCCAGGUGUAGCGGUGAAAUGCGUAGAUAUAUGAAAGAACAUCAAUAUAGCGAAGGCAGUUAACUAUUUUGCUACUGACAUUGAGGCAUGAAAGCGUGGGGAGCAAAACGG
rnacentral:rRNA from 1 species